AUGACCAUAUCACAUUGAAAUACCUGUUUCCAUGCAAUCACCAAAGUUAAGCAACAUUGAGCCUGGUUAGUACCUGCAUGGGUGACUGCUUGGUAAUAUUAGGUGCUGUAA